GGACUACUCGGGUAUCUAAUCCUGUUUGCUCCCCUAGCUUUCGCGUCUCAGCGUCAGGUCUAAGCUAGAAAACCGCUUUCGCUACUGGUGUUCUUCCACAUAUCUACGCAUUUCACCGCUACAUGUGGAAUUCCGUUUUCUCCGCCUACCCUCUAGAAAAGAAGUUUCAGAUGCCUUUCCGGAGUUGAGCUCCGGGCUUUCACGUCUGACUUUCUCUCCCGCCUACACGCCCUUUACGCCCAAUAAAUCCGAUUAACGCUUGCACCCUCCGUAUUACCGCGGCGGCUGGCAC
rnacentral:rRNA from 1 species